GGAAUUUUGGACAAUGGGCGCAAGCCUGAUCCAGCAAUGCCGCGUGCAGGAUGAAGGCCUUCGGGUUGUAAACUGCUUUUGUACGGAACGAAAAGGCUCUGGUUAAUACCUGGGGCUCAUGACGGUACCGUAAGAAUAAGCACCGGCUAACUACGUGCCAGCAGCCGCGGUAAUACGUAGGGUGCGAGCGUUAAUCGGAAUUACUGGGCGUAAAGCGUGCGCAGGCGGUUUUGUAAGACAGAGGUGAAAUCCCCGGGCUCAACCUGGGAACUGCCUUUGUGACUGCAAAGCUGGAGUGCGGCAGAGGGGGAUGGAAUUCCGCGUGUAGCAGUGAAAUGCGUAGAUAUGCGGAGGAACACCGAUGGCGAAGGCAAUCCCCUGGGCCUGCACUGACGCUCAUGCACGAAAGCGUGGGGAGCAAACA
rnacentral:rRNA from 1 species